AGGAUGGUAGUUUAAUGGUAAAGCGCUCGACUCCAAACCGAGAAACUGGAGGUUCAAGUCUUCCCCGUCCUG
rnacentral:tRNA from 1 species